AGCCCCUUGGUUUGUUGUUUACUCUCCUCUGCUACCACACAGCUCUGUGUCUGCUUCUGAAAAUACAUGAAUUACCUAAGCAGGACUUCAAGUUCCCUUAAAGACAAGAAGUCAUUCUUACAACAUUCCUAGGAGGUCAGCAGUAAACAAAAAGAUACAAGUCUUCACCCACAUUGGGAAGAGGACGCUAAUCAGUUUUCAGACUCAAAUGAAAUCCAAAAACACCCUUAUGGACACAUGCAGAAAUAAUGCUUAACCAAAUAUCUGGACACCGUGCCAGUCAAGUUGACAUAAAAUUAAUCAUCACAGGAAGAUUGAACUGAUCAUAGGAAGGAUAAUUCCAAGAAACCCACACAUUCACAAGUCCUUUGGCAAGACUAGAACCAGAGAAGCAAAGAGCAUCUGCGUGCAGAAGCAGCACUAGGCUACCCAAAAAUGACUGUAUUUGGAGAUAAGACUUUUAAGAUGGCAAAGAAAAUUAAAUGAAGCCAUAAGCAUGGACUCUUAAUCUAGUAGACAAAUGUCCUUACAAGAAGAGGAGAGAGACCAUUCUCCCCCUAUACACACACCUUUCCAUACGCAUGGAGGAAAGGCCAGUGAGAACACAGUGAGAAGGGAGCUGUUUGCAAACCAGGAAGAGAGUGCUCACCAGACACAAUCCUGGAAGCACCUUAGGAUUGGGCUUCUGGUCUCCAGAACUAUGUCUUCCUUUGCAUUGCAUUAGACAGAAACAUGGGGGAAAAAUAGUGGCACUGUGAAACAGAGAGAAGACAGGGUGCCAGAAACUGGAAACCAGUGUGGGACAGGAGCGGAAAAGACACCCUGAGAGCAGAGCAGAUAUGAUGUGGCCCCCAGGAAGGCCUCAUUUGUGAAUUGUCAAGGAGGUCAAGUCAGGCUUUGAAUGGCAGAGCAUCAGCACCGCAGCUGUGACAGCCACAAGGAAAAGUCUAUAGAGGAAGCAGAUUGAAAUGAAGAUCAGAAGCCAAGAGAAGUUGGUCAAAGGGCAGUGCUGACCAAGGUGCUGAGAUCCAGAGCCCUCACUGGGCUCUGUCCCCUGAUGUGAGCACCUGGGAGGCUGCUGCCUGAACUGACCACCCCUGCAUACUCCUCUGGCCCUGCCUCUCAACUCUCCCAGCAUCUGCUACCCACUGUUCAUCCUGUUCUGUCCUAGCUCUGACAGGCUUGAACAAUCUUCAAGAAUGAGACCUCCUGUGACCUUCCUGGACCUCUGCACUUACCUUAUGGGCUAUAAAAGGACCCAUUCUGGCUCGGGCAGCGUCCGGAGGACUCGGAGACUGCUUUCUCAGGACUGGUCCCCUGCUGGGAAGUUGCCCAGUGCUGCAGUGUGUGGCCUAACACACCACGUGCUCCAGGGUUGCUAUUUCUUCACUAAUUUCUAAAACUUGGAAAGGAGUCUCAACCUACAUACAUGCCUCUUGUGCCCAGGCCUGUGGUAGGCACCAAGAGCAGUGGCCUGGCCCUGGAGCUGGAGAAGUGCCAAUCAGGAUGAGACAGAAUUUCUCAUUUGCUCCUGACAACUAAUGGUGAGACAGUAGAGAAGAGAUUAUUGGUCCCAUUUUACAGAGGAGAACUCUGAGCCUUAGAGAGUUCGUGUCCAGCAGAAGUGGAACUCAAUCAAAAAUUCUUGACUCCCAGAAGACUGGGGUUUGAACUGGGAAGAUCAGGAAGUGAUUGGGAGAAACCUGUGCCUUCAUGGAGGAGCCUCAUGGGAGUCCUCACUAGACAGACAUGGAUAAAGACAGGACUCCAUUUGUAAACUUGUCUGCAAAGUGUGAAUAAACAAUGGC